rnacentral:lncRNA from 1 species
AUUCAAAUAUGUAAGAAAUAGCUUUUUACUCCUCUUCUCAUUUAAAAAUUUCCAAAGGGUAAAUAAACGGAAAAGGACAAAAAUACCUCUUGUGCCUAAUAAAUAGUAAAUUUUCUUUUUUUUUUUUCUUUUUUUGAGACGGAGUCUCGCUCUGUCACCCAGGCUGGAGUGCAGUGGUGCGAUCUCAGCUCACUGCAACCUCUGCCUCUUGGGUUCACGCCAUUCUCCUGCCUCAGUCUCCUGAGUAGCUGGGCUACAGGUGCCCGCCACCAUGCCUGGCUAUUUUUUAUAUUUUUAGUAGAGAUGGGGUUUCACCGUGUUAGCCAGUGUCUCGAUCUCCUGACCUUGUCAUUCUCCCAUCUCGGCCUCCCAAAGUGCUGGGAUUACAGGUGUGAGCCACCAUGCCCGGCCAAUACAUAGUAAAUUUUCUAUACUGAUAAACACUGCUAGAAGAAACUGGAGCUGGAAAUUUCAAAGAGGGAUGGAAAGUCAGGGUCCAGUUCUGGACAUUUCUUAGAAAGGCAGCCACGGCCGGAUGCGGUGGCUCAUGCCUGUAAUCACGCCACCGGCUCAUGCGGUGGCUCAAGCACUUUGGGAGGGCUGGGGAACUUAGACAUAUCGCCAAGUCAGACUGAGAUGAGAACUUCUAAUCUUACAUGUUUAAUACCAAACACAAAGCAAACACAUUCAUCAUCUAGAGUAC